UACAGAGGUCUCAAGCGUUGUUCGGAUUCAUUGGGCGUAAAGGGUGCGUAGGCGGCGCGGUAAGUCGGGUGUGAAAUCUCGGGGCUUAACUCCGAAACUGCAUUCGAUACUGCCGUGCUUGAGGACUGGAGAGGAGACUGGAAUUUACGGUGUAGCGGUGAAAUGCGUAGAUAUCGUAAGGAAGACCAGUGGCGAAGGCGGGUCUCUGGACAGUUCCUGACGCUGAGGCACGAAGGCCAGGGGAGGCAAACGGG
rnacentral:rRNA from 1 species